AUUGAACGCUGGCGGCAGGCUUAACACAUGCAAGUCGAACGAGUGGCGGACGGGUGAGUAAUGCUUGGGAAUCUAGCUUAUGGAGGGGGAUAACUACGGGAAACUGUAGCUAAUACCGCGUACCAUAGGAUGAGCCCAAGGGGGAUCAGGUAGUUGGGGAGGUAAAGGCUCACCAAGCCGACGAUCUCUAGCUGGUAUGAGAGGCUGACCAGCCACACUGGGACUGAGCAACGGCCCAGAUGCCGACGGUAGGCAGAAGUGGGGAAUAUUGCGCAAUGGGGGCAACCUGACGCAGCCAUGCCGCGUGUAUGAAGAAGGCCUUCGGGUUGGAAAGUUCUUUCGGUAGCGAGGCGUUAACUACAGAAGAAGCACCGGCUAACGCCGUGCCAGCCGCCGCGGUAAUAC
rnacentral:rRNA from 1 species